rnacentral:rRNA from 1 species
UACGGGGGGGGCAAGCGUUGUUCGGAAUUACUGGGCGUAAAGGGCUCGUAGGCGGCCAACUAAGUCGGAUGUGAAAUCCCCAGGCUCAACCUGGGAACUGCAUCCGAUACUGGAUGGCUUGAAUCCGGGAGAGGGAUGCAGAAUUCCAGGUGUAGCGGUGAAAUGCGUAGAUAUCUGGAGGAAUACCGGUGGCGAAGGCGGCUCACUGGUCCGGUACUGACGCUGAGGUGCGAAAGCGUGGGGAGCAAACAGG